rnacentral:lncRNA from 1 species
GACAAUGGAUAAGAAAGAAUAUAAGGGAUGCAUCCGAUGAUCAAGAUGAUGAAUAUAUAUAUAGGACGUUGAGGGAGAACAAGAAGAAGCAAGGCAAGAGCAUGUUCAACAAAAGGUUAUUUUUUCCCUCUUCUCCUCAUGUUCCUCCUCCCUACAAUCCUCCACCUCUUAUGAUCCUGUGGCGCAUGCAGAUAUCUAUCAAAAGAUUGAUAGAAUGGAAGAUUAUCUUCAUCAAGUGGGUGGAAAGGUUGAUUAUUUGGAGAACUGAUAGAAUGCACCUUUUGAACCCUCUAGUGCACUCUAUGCCGUAUAUAGGCCUCAUGCAAACCAGUCGUCUUCUUCUAUCAUGCCACUGCUAGAAGCACCAAUGGGACAAGACGAGGAUGAUCACGAGGGUAACGAUGAAGAUUAAUUAGGAUCUUGUUUUGGACCAUAGCCUAGUGGCCUCUUUUUUGUUGUCUUUAUAUUUUUUUGAUAAACUAUCACUACAGCAAAUUGAGUUUUUAGCGACCAAUUUUUAACGACGGGCGCUACAUAUGGUCGCUAAAAAGAGAAAAUUUAAUACACCUCAAUAGAAUAUUAUUUGGUAACGAAUAAUUAGCGACGAAAGAUUUAUUUCGUCGUUAUUAGUCAUCUGGCCCGGUCGUUAAUACUCAACAAAAAAAAUUUGGCGGGCCUAAAAAGAAUUUUGGCGGGCCCAAAAUGCAUCCUAAUUGUAAAAAAAAAAAAAAAAAAAAAAAAAUCUAAAAUCUCCCUGUCCCGCAUCCUUUUGGGACAAAGUAACCUAGCUCCCAAAUUAGCCCCAAAUCUCCUCUAAUGUCUCCUGAGUCACUAUAGGGAUUCCUCUCCCAACACCUCACGCGCUCGCUCGCCGUCGGUUCCUCACACGCUCGCUCGCCGUCGGCUCCUCACGCCUUCGCUCGUCAUCGGCUACCCACGCCCUCGCUUGCCGUUGGCUACUCACGUACUCGCUCGCCGGCAAAAAUACCCACGCGCUCGCUCGCCAGCAAAUGUUCACACGCUCUCCAACGCUAUAGAAGGGCGAACUACUCCGACGCUUCACGAGCCGCUAUCAUAUACAUUUGACUGUGGUCCUCUAUCUCUCUCUUACUAUGUUUUUUUCUUUAUUUAUAUAGUUUUUCCACCACUAUAAGGUGAAAUUUCUGUAAUGGGUCCCGUUUGUAAGCUCUUUCUCUAUUUUUAUCUUCAUCUGCAGAAUAUUUUUAUUUUAUUAAUAUGAUAUUUGUGAUGGGUCCUAUUUGUAUGGAUUUCUNUUAGCUCACAAUAAUCUAAUUAUUGGCGACGAAUGUAUUGGUCGUUAAACUUACGAAGCUUACAUAACUAAGCUUAAUAGCGACGAAUUUAUUGGUCGUUAAACCCAUAAACUUUCGCAUAAUUAAGCUUUGUAGCGAUGAAAAAUAGGUCGCUAUUGCUACAACGUAUGGUUACUAAUGAAUAAUAAUUAACGACGGUAACUUACUCCGUCGUUGAAAUAUAUAACGACCGAUUUUUGUAUUCCGUCGUUAAUUCUUUUAACGUGAAAGGCUAUAACGACGGGUGACGACGAGAUAUUUUUUCGUCACUAUAUAUUAUUAACGACAUAAUUUCGAAUAUUAACGACGAUUUUUCCUUUCGUUAAAUAUUAAUUUUCCUGUAGUGUAUACUUUGUACCCUUUGAAACAUUGUGUUUAAUGUUUUUGUUUUCUUUUCCUUUAUGCUUAUUCCUAUUAUCUUUCUUCGAUGACAAAAGGGGAGAAAAUUUGUGAUAUAUGCUUAAUUUGCUUACUAUCUUAAUUUGCUAUGUUGAGCUGCUUGAUAUGAUCACUUAUGCAAGCUUUUAUAUGAUUACAUGCUCG